CUUGAAGAGCUAGAUUGCAGCUGUCCUGGAGGAUCUGCGUAAUUAUAUAAAACUUCUUUCAAGAGUUGUCCCUUGAAAGGCAUCUGAAGGCAAGGUUCCCAUGUUCCGCCAAGAAGAUCCCAGAUGUGAACAAACCCAAGGCAUCAAAGCCAAUACUAGAGUAACAGAAGGCUGGGCAAAGACGAGCUAAUCAAUGAUUUGGCUGGAUGAGAACAGAUUGCUGGAACAUUAUCUGCUGCUCCUCAGCAAUUGGCUGUCAUCAUUCCAAGAGCAGGGACAUCUUCCACUAGAUCAGGUUGCUCAGGACCUCAUCCAACCUGGCCUUGAGUGCUUCCAAGGAUGGGGGCUUCACAGCUUUCCAACAUUCACAGCUUGCCAACUGGGUGGAAAGUGGGCAAGCCACCACUCUCUAGACCUGUAUGCAGUACUCCAGCUGGAGUCUCAGGAGGGGGAGUUUCCCUCCAUGUUAAUCAUAUGGGAGGGAGCAGGUCAGUGGGAGACUCCUGUGACUGAACCCAUCUCCAAUCAAAACAAGUGUGAUGUGGCCAGUGAGGACAUCCAGAUUACCCCAUCACAGCUCCUGAGCACCUCCAUCAUUCUCAUGUGUCUGUCCCACGACAGGGGACUUCUAUAAUUGGAUUUCCAUAUUAAAAAAUGGAAAAGAAAGCCACUGGGUGGCUUAUCAAUAAUCAUCAUCACCAGUCAACCUGAAUUAGUUUCCCUGGACUAAACUGAUUUCUUUUGGAAGAUGUUUCACCCAUUCAUUAGUGAAACCAUGUUUCUGGACUGCUAAAAGACAAUCCUUUCAAAUAUUUCCUAAAGAGAGAAUGGCUGCGGUGUUGAGUUCAUCUAGAUCCACCAAAACUCUGAAAUGAACAACA